GAAACUCCCUAUUCCCCUCACAGAGCUACAAUUUCCAGAGUCCUCAGAGAAGAGUGUUUGACUGUAAAACCACUUUGGGAAUUGUAGCUCUGUGAGGGGAUUAGGGAGUCU